UGCGGGAUUGUGUAAUGGCAGCACAACUGACUCUGGAUCAGUCUGUGAGGGUUCAAAUCCUUCUCCCGCAGCCA
rnacentral:tRNA from 1 species